rnacentral:rRNA from 1 species
CCUACGGGGGGCUGCAGUGGGGAAUAUUGGACAAUGGGCGAAAGCCUGAUCCAGCCAUGCCGCGUGUGUGAAGAAGGCCUUCGGGUUGUAAAGCACUUUCAGUGGGGAAGAAAGCCUUGGGGCUAAUACCCUCGAGGAAGGACAUCGCCCACAGAAGAAGCACCGGCUAACUCCGUGCCAGCAGCCGCGGUAAUACGGAGGGUGCGAGCGUUAAUCGGAAUUACUGGGCGUAAAGCGCGCGUAGGCGGUCUGAUAAGCCGGUUGUGAAAGCCCCGGGCUCAACCUGGGAACGGCAUCCGGAACUGUCAGGCUAGAGUGCAGGAGAGGAAGGUAGAAUUCCCGGUGUAGCGGUGAAAUGCGUAGAGAUCGGGAGGAAUACCAGUGGCGAAGGCGGCCUUCUGGACUGACACUGACGCUGAGGUGCGAAAGCGUGGGUAGCAAACAGGAUUAGAUACCCGGGUAGUC